rnacentral:piRNA from 1 species
UAGUAUGUUCAUGCAUGAUGUCAAAGGCCA